AUGCUUGUAGAUCAUGAAAAGAAUGCUUUAGGUGCUAGUUAUAUUGUUGAAUUCAUUCAUGAUGCUACUGAAAAUUAUUAUGAGGGAGGAAUAUAUGCUUGUAGGAAUUGCAAUAAUAUCAAGUUUCCUCUCUAUGUGCUUAAAGUUUUGAAGUUAUGCUUGUUUUGCCUUCCUAUGCUAGUUGAUUGUUGUUCCCACAAGUUGUUUGCUCACAAAAUCCCUAUGCACAGGAAGUGGGUUAGACUUAAAUGUGCUAGUCAUAUUCUUCAUGAUGCUCUCUUUAUGUUUCAAUUCUUAUCUUUUAUGUGA
rnacentral:rRNA from 1 species